rnacentral:ncRNA from 1 species
AGUUUUGGUCCUAAACUUGCCCUUGUUUUUUAUCAAAAUUAUACAUGCAAGCCUCCACACACCAGUGAGAAUGCCCACUUUUUUCCCAAACAGCAAGCAGGAGCGGGUAUCAGGAUACAACACCAACCUUUUAGCCAAAGACACCUUGCAAACGCCACACCCACACGGGCCCUCAGCAGUAAUUAAUAUUAAAACAUGAGCGCAAGCUCGAUUUAGUUAUGAUAAACAUGGUCGGUAAAUUUCGUGCCAGCCACCGCGGUUAUACGAAAGACCAAAAACAACGGCCUGCGGCGUAAAGUGUGACUAGAGACAUCAACCAACUAAAGGGAAAUAGCGGCCAAGUCGUAAAACACUACUGCACGCUAGAACAACAAACACAUGCCUUUAGACUUCUUCACCUCACGAAAGCUGAGAAACAAACUGGGAUUAGAUACCCCACUAUGCUCAGCCAUUAACAUAGAUAAUACAAACACAAUAUUAUCCGCCAGAGAACUACAAGCGAAAAGCUCGAAACUCUAAGGACUUGGCGGUGCUUCAAAUCAACCUAGAGGAGCCUGUCCUAUAAUCGAUACCCCACGUUUCACCUCACCACUCCUAGCCAAACAGCCUAUAUACCGCCGUCGCCAGCCUACCCUAUGAAAGAUAUAAAGUGGGCAAAAAAGUUUUUAACUAAUACGUCAGGUCAAGGUGUAGCACACGGAGCGGAAGAGAUGGGCUACAUUUUUUCAAAGAACAAACACGAAUAGUGUGUUGAAACACACACUUGAAGGCGGAUUUAGCAGUAAUAUGACUAAGAAAAACCAUAUUAAACCUGCUCUGAAGCGCGCACACACCGCCCGUCACCCUCAUUACAUGUGAUAUACUAUAAAAU